GAUGAACGCUGGCGGCGUGCCUAAUACAUGCAAGUCGAGCGAACAGACGAGGAGCUUGCUCCUCUGACGUUAGCGGCGGACGUGUGAGUAACACGUGGAUAACCUACCUAUAAGACUGGGAUAACUUCGGGAAACCGGAGCUAAUCCCGGAUAAUAUAUUGAACCGCAUGGUUCAAUAGUGAAAGACGGUUUUGCUGUCACUUAUAGAUGGAUCCGCGCCGCAUUAGCUAGUUGGUAAGGUAACGGCUUACCAAGGCAACGAUGCGUAGCCGACCUGAGAGGGUGAUCGGCCACACUGGAGCUGAGACACGGUCCAGACUCCUACGGGAGGCAGCAGUAGGGAAUCUUCCGCAAUGGGCGAAAGCCUGACGGAGCAACGCCGCGUGAGUGAUGAAGGUCUUCGGAUCGUAAAACUCUGUUAUUAGGGAAGAACAAAUGUGUAAGUAACUAUGCACGUCUUGACGGUACCUAAUCAGAAAGCCACGGCUAACUACGUG
rnacentral:rRNA from 1 species